rnacentral:rRNA from 1 species
AAGCGUGACGGGGUCACCCCGAGUGCCGCCCGCUGAGGGUGGCUUUUCCCCAGUGUAGCAAGCUGGGGGAAUAAGGGGAGGGCAAGUCGGGUGUCAGCCGCCGCGGUAAUACCCGCUCCCCGAGUGGUGGGGACGCUUAUUGGGCCUAAAGCAUCCGUAGCCGGCUGGGUAAGUCCCCUGUUAAAUCCAGCGAUUUAAUCGCUGGACUGCGGGGGAUACUGCCCAGCUAGGGGGCGGGAGAGGCCGGCGGUAUUCCCGGGGUAGGGGUGAAAUCCUAUAAUCCCGGGAGGACCACCAGUGGCGAAGGCUGCCGGCUGGAACGCGCCCGACGGUGAGGGAUGAAAGCUGGGGGAGCGAACCGGAUUAGAUACCCGGGUAGUCCCAGCUGUAAACGAUGCGGGCUAGGUGUUGGCACGGCUAUGAGCCGUGCCAGUGCCGCAGGGAAGCCGUUAAGCCCGCCGCCUGGGGAGUACGGCCGCAAGGCUGAAACUUAAAGGAAUUGGCGGGGGAGCACCACAAGGGGUGAAGCUUGCGGUUUAAUUGGAGUCAACGCCGGGAACCUUACCGGGGGAGACAGCAGGAUGAAGGCCAGAUUGAAGGUCUUGCCAGACAAGCUGAGAGGAGGUGCAUGGGCGUCGCCAGUUCGUGCCGUGAGGUGUCCUGUUAAGUCAGGCAACGAUCGAGACCCGCGCCCCCUGUUGCCACCGGCCUCUGCGCCGGGCACACUGGGGGGACUGCCGCCGAUAAGGCGGAGGAAGGAGCGGGCCACGGCAGGUCAGUAUGCCCCGAAUCCCCCGGGCCACACGCGAGCUGCAAUGGCAGGGACAAUGGGUUCCGACCCCGAAAGGGGGAGGCAAUCCCUAAACCCUGCCGUAGCUGGGAUCGAGGGCUGC